GACGAACGCUGGCGGCGUGCUUAACACAUGCAAGUCGAACGGAAAGGCCCUGCUUUUGUGGGGUGCUCGAGUGGCGAACGGGUGUGUAACACGUGAGUAACCUGCCCUUGACUUUGGGAUAACUUCAGGAAACUGGGGCUCAUACCGGAUAGGAGCUCCUGCUGCAUGGUGGGGGUUGGAAAGUUUCGGCGGUUGGGGAUGGACUCGCGGCUUAUCAGCUUGUUGGUGGGGUAGUGGCUUACCAAGGCUUUGACGGGUAGCCGGCCUGAGAGGGUGACCGGCCACAUUGGGACUGAGAUACGGCGCAGACUCCUACGGGAGGCAGCAGGGGGGAAUAUUGCACAAUGGGCGGAAGCCUGAUGCAGCAACGCCGCGUGCGGGAUGACGGCCUUCGGGUUGUAAACCGCUUUCGCCUGUGACGAAGCGUGAGUGACGGUAAUGGGUAAAGAAGCACCGGCUAACUACGUG
rnacentral:rRNA from 1 species